rnacentral:rRNA from 1 species
UCAAAAACAUGUCUUAUUGAAAAUAAUUUUAAGUCUGGCCUGCCCACUGAAUUUUUAAAUGGCCGCGGUAUUUUGACCGUGCUAAGGUAGCAUAAUCAUUAGUUUCUUAAUUAGAAGCUGGAAUGAAUGGUUGGAUGAAAAAAUUACUGUCUCUAUUUAAUUUUAUUAAAAUUUUAUUUUUUAGUAAAAAAGCUAAAAUAUUUUUGAAAGACGAGAAGACCCUAUAGAGUUUAAUAUAAAAUAAUUUUAUAAUUUAUUAGUAUAUAAAUUUAUAAUUUUAUAUUAUAUUUAAUUGGGGUGAUUGAAAAAUUUAAUUAACUUUUUUUUGUUUAGACCAUUGAUUUAUGAUUAUUUGAUCCAUAUUUUGUGAUUAUAAGACUAAAUUACCUUAGGGAUAACAGCGUAAUAUUUUCAGAGAGUUCAUAUCGAAGAAAAGGAUUGCGACCUCGAUGUUGGAUUAAAAUUAAUAAUUGGUGUAGAAGCUAAAAUUAUUAGGUCUGUUCGACCUUUAAAAUUUUACAUGAUCUGA